UACUAGGUAGAUGCCAAAGUAACUGUGGUUUUUGCCCUUAAAAAAGAAAAGGACAAAAACCACAAUUACUUUUGCACCAAACUAAUAA
rnacentral:miRNA from 1 species